rnacentral:tRNA from 1 species
GGGCGUGUGGCGGAACUGGCAGACGCGCUGGACUUAGGAUCCAGUGGGGCAACCCGUGGGGGUUCAACUCCCUCCACGCCCA